CUCAUAGCGUAUAUUAAUGUUGUUGCAGUUAAAAAGCUCGUAGUUGGAUUCCUGACCUGGGGUAGCCGGUCCGCCUUGCAAAAGGUGCGCACUGAGCGGCCUCGGUCAUCCUUGAGAAGAGCGGUCCUGGCAUUCAGUUGUCGGGGUCGGGAUUCUCGACGUUUACUGUGAAAAAAUCAGAGUGUUCAACGCAGGCUUACGCCUUGAAUACAUUAGCAUGGAAUAAUGAGAUAGGACCUUGGCGGUCUAUUUUGUUGGUUUGCACGCCGAGGUAAUGAUUAAAAGGGACGGUUGGGGUUCUUCGUAUUCAAUUGUCAGAGGUGAAAUUCUUGGAUUUAUGGAAGACGAACUGCUGCGAAAGCGUCGAACAAGGACGUUCUCAUUAAUCAAGAACGAAAGUUAGGGGAUCGAAGAUGAUUAGAUACCAUCGUAGUCUUAACCAUAAACUAUGCCGAUUCAGGAUUGGCGGUCGUUUGUUCUCGACUCCGUCAGCACUGUAUGAGAAAUCAAAAUCUUUGGGUUCCGGGGGGAGUAUGGUCGCAAGGCUAAAACUUAAAGAAAUUGACGGAAGGGCACCACCAGGAGUGGAGCCUGCGGCUUAAUUUGACUCAACACGGGGAAACUUACCAGGUCCAGACAUAGUA
rnacentral:rRNA from 1 species